CCUACGGGAGGCAGCAGUGAGGAAUAUUGGUCAAUGGGCGCGAGCCUGAACCAGCCAAGUCGCGUGAGGGAAGACGGUCCUAUGGAUUGUAAACCUCUUUUGUCGGGGAGCAAAAGACGCCACGCGUGGCGUUCCGCGAGUACCCGAAGAAAAAGCAUCGGCUAACUCCGUGCCAGCAGCCGCGGUAAUACGGAGGAUGCGAGCGUUAUCCGGAUUUAUUGGGUUUAAAGGGUGCGCAGGCGGAAGAUCAAGUCAGCGGUAAAAUUGAGAGGCUCAACCUCUUCGAGCCGUUGAAACUGGUUUUCUUGAGUGAGUUAGAAGUAUGCGGAAUGCGGGGUGUAGCGGUGAAAUGCAUAGAUAUCACGCAGAACUCCGAUUGCGAAGGCAGCAUACCGGCGCUCAACUGACGCUCAUGCACGAAAGUGUGGGUAUCGAACAGGAUUAGAUACCCUAGUAGUC
rnacentral:rRNA from 1 species